rnacentral:rRNA from 14 species
GGGAACUGAAACAUCUCAGUACCUGGAGGAAAGGACAUCAAAAUGAGACUCCGUUAGUAGUGGCGAGCGAACGCGGAUCAGGCCUGGUCUGAAAUAAGGAGAAGUAUCUGGGAAGGUACGCCGUAGUGGGUGAUAGCCCCGUAUCCGUAAAAUGAAGACCUUUUAGAGUAGGGCGGGACACGUGAAAUCCUGUCUGAACAUGGGGGGACCACCCUCCAAGCCUAAGUACUCCUUAAUGACCGAUAGUGAACAAGUACCGUGAGGGAAUGAUGAAAAGAACCCCGAUGAGGGGAGUGAAACAGAUCCUGAAACCGGAUGCCUAC